UCUCCUCUGACUCAGCCUCAGCCUCUUCCCUUUGGGGUAUAGUCUUUCCCCAGAUGAACACAACCUGGGGCAGCCCGGGGAUGUCUGAGCCACCAGCUCUGCCUUCUCCUUUCUGUGCUCUGGGGAAGCCGAGACUUAGGGUUAAUAGAGACGUAGCAGAGAGGUAAACACACCGGCUGAUAAAAUGGAAAAAUAUACAUCUAAGAAAAGGAUACGCAUAUGUAAGAGAUGCCCUCUGACAUGGUUGUGUGUGUGCAUCAGUGAUGCAGACAAAGUGGAAAAGAGCGCCUACCACUCAGAGAACUUCUACCUGUCACCGUGGAGGAUGUCCGCCCGGUCAAAGCAAAAACAAAAACAGAGCUCUACCCCUUCUCAGGACCGAUGCAAAAUUGACUUUCUCAUCGGAUAUGAUGACGUAUCUCACCCCCACUCUUCGGCUGCGCAGAUACAGGGUGACCAGUUUUCUACUUCCUCAGAAAGUGGAGGAUAUUGUGAAGUGUUGAUAUCAAAGCCACCACCGCACAUCACUGCUCUUGGAACGGAGUCCUGUGAGGAAGAGAUUUCCUGUUCUCCAUUCAGAAGCGAAUCUGAAGACCAGAAAUCUUCACAGAGUCAAGAAUCAGAAGAUACUUGCUGGGAAGAGAAGACAGUAGUGCCCCACCUGGUUGCUAAACUCUGUUCUGGGACUGAACCGGUUUGUAAAAGUAAUCAGUUUCUGGGACCUGAAGGAAAUGUGGAUAUUGAAUUGAUUGAUAAGAGUGCAAACAGAUACCGUGUCCACUUCCCCGUGGCCGGCUUCUAUCUGUGGCCAGCAACAGGCCUUGGCUUCCUGGUAACAGCAGCAGUGACCGUGGUGAUUACGUUCGAUUCUUGGAGUCAGCACCUGGACCUGAAGUUACAGCAUCACGAGAAAUGGAUGGUGGCCGGCCCUUUAUUUGACAUCUCUGUGGAGCCUGAGGGGGUCAUCACUGAAAUCCACCUCCCCCACGUCAUCUCCCUCCCAGCAAAUGAGGUCGAUAUCUCUUGGUUCCAAGUUGCCCAUUUUAAGGAUGAAGGGAUGGUCCUGGAGCCGCCAGCCCGAGUGGAGCCUUUCUAUGCCAUCCUGGAAAACCCUAGCUUCUCUCUGAUGGGGAUCCUGCUGAGACUCGCCAGAGGGACCUGUCUUUCGGUCCCCAUCACAUCCACGGCACUAAUCUAUUAUCACUUCUACCACGAAGCUGUGAAAUUUCACUUGUAUCUUAUCCCCAGUGACUACUUGCUAACGAAGUCAAUAGAUGAGGAGGAAGCUAAAUUUCAAGGUGUGCGUCUGCAGACCUCGCCCCCAGUGGACCCACUGAAUUUUGGUUCCCGUUAUAUUGUGUCUUGUUCGCCUCCCCUGGAAAUAAUACCCAAGGAGUUGAAAUUAUCCUACAGGAACCGUGGAGAAAUCCAGGUCUUCUCUAAAGUCUAUGCUGGGAGGAUGGAGGAACCAAUCAUGUUUGAAAUUACUGAAAAAACACACGAGACUUUGAUCUGGUACACUUUGGUGAAGCCAGAGGAGCUCCAGUUUGGUGCUACAUCGGCCCCUCCUCCCCUCCCAGAUCAUCCAGGAGGAGAAGGAGAGCAUUUUCUGGUGUCUCUCGGGGAGGAGAAGGCUCCUCGGGUAUCGCAUUGGCUUGACAUGGCAACAGACCCAUCCUGGCCAGCGGGUGUUGUCAGGAGGUCCAGAGAGGCAGACUAGCUGGAGAAAAUCAGGCCCCACACCUGGAGUUGCAACUGGGUUCAAACUCAGCUACAGAUCUUGGUGAAGAAUCAGCUCUUGAGCAAGAGAUAUCUGUCACCUGUCGUCUGAAGGAUGAAACUGACACUCAUUCACUCUGUCUAGAAGACCCUUCAGAAGCUUCUGCCGGCCCACAUCUUGAGUCAAAUCUUUAUCCUGGCCACCAUGUGUCAUGAAUCAUGACACCUCGUUACCCCUCUUUCCCUUUUGGCCUGGUGGCAUCUUGCACUUCAUACCCAAAUCCUUUUCCUUCCGGAGCACCUGGCUGGCUCAGUUGGUUGAGCAUCCGACUUCGGCUCGGGUCACGAUCUCACGGUUCAUGAGUUCCAGCCCCACAUCGGGCUCACUGCUGUCAGCCCAGAGCCAGCUUCGCAUCCUCUGGCCCUACCCUGCUUGCUCUCUCUCUCUCUUCCAAAAAUAAAUAAACAUUAAAGAAGUCCUACAAAUCCUUCAAAUCCUCCUUUGAUACUAAUUCUUCCGUGAAGACUUUGCUUCAGAGUCUAGUCAUCCCCUCCUUUGUGACCUGAAGGCUGUGGUGACAUUUGUUCCUCAUGGGACUAUGGUGAUAAAAAUGAUCUUGAUGACAAACGCAGCUUAUCGAAGGCCGGUAGCAUGCUAAAUAAUCAGGGUACCUGUAUUUGUGCUUCAUAUCGUCCACUUCUGUUUAGUCCUGUCAAUAAACCGUGGCUGGCUUCCCCAGACAAUCACAGAGGAGCGUCAGAGCGGGAACAUGGUAGUGGCCGUGAAGUAACAAUGUUGUAUGCAGUGUAGCCUGAGACAGACACGCUCUCUGCACGCAUGGGGUUUCUAUUCCAGCAGGUGAAAACAAUGAAGCCCGUUCCACACUGCUUAUCAAAGUAUACUCGUGGGGCGUGUUGCCAAGGAAAACUGGAGGGAUUUAGAAGAGGAUAACAUGAGGAGCUUGGAUCUAGCGUUGAGGGAGUUGAAAACGUC